rnacentral:lncRNA from 1 species
GUAAAAUUGUACCUUCUAGCAUUAACUGACUUGAAUAAAAUCUGCUUUUCUAAGAAAACAAAAGAGGAGAAACAGAUGGGAGUGAAUUAGGAAGAGAAAAAUCUAUUGUUGUGAUGCUUUAAUCCAUUGAAAUACGUGAGCCUGGAAAUGUAGUAAUAAAAAUUCAGGGACUAUAUUUUAGGAGGAAUUAGGUGCUAGCAGGUGUUUUCUAAGGGUCAAGGUUACACUGUCCUGAAGAAUGACAGCAGGGAAGCCAGCUCUGGAGUGUCGCAUCAGUGAUUCCGCACACCACAGCCUAAGCCAGAGCUGCUGAAAUGUGUUCUCAUGACUGGGAGUCCAGCUGCUUUCUCUAGGAUGCAGGGCUAGAAUACUACCUACAACAGAGCUUUGUUUAAUAAAUACAGGAUCUUAUUCUGGAAUCCAAAUUUCUGAUGCCCCUGGGAGUUGAUGAUGUUGGCAGAUCUUGGAAAGAAAAGCUCCCAGCUCUUUCCAGCACAGAGCAUCUUGGGGUCAACUGCUGAAAAAAUGAACUAGUAAACUCAUUGCUAUCACCUGA